AAGAAGGGGGAGGGGAGGUUUGCAACCCUUCCAACGCCCCCCUCGGGUCCCCGGGGAGGGCCCCCCUUGCGCAGGUGGAGCGCGUCCCGGGUGCGGGCGCGCCGCCGCGGGAAAGGCCCCCGCAGCAACAGGCGGGCGGCGGGCUGGGGGCGGGGGGCGGGGGCGGAGGGCGUGCGCGAGGGCGGGGGCGAGGGCCCGGCGGCGUCGGGGGUCCCCGGGCCGGCGCAGCGCGGGGAGCAGGUGGCUGCCCUCUGCGCGCGGCGUGUGCCCAGCGCGGGCCAGUGGAGCAGGGCUGCGGCCCCGGAGGAGGCGAGGCCCGUGGGGCCCCGGCGGGGCGACCCGGACCCCCGGGAGCCGCGCGGGCCGGAGGGGCGUGCCCUCUGCUCGCAGCGCGGGGCCGCCGCCGCCGCCGCCGCCGCCGCCGCCGCCGCAGCAUCUCGCGCCCGCGGUCUCCGGGCCGAGAGGCCGCGACACCUAGCGCGGGGCCGCGGCGAGGAAGGAAGGGCCGGGAGCGAGGAGGAAGGAGACCGGGAGGAAGCCGCCGGCCGGGCAGCCCCCGCUCCCGCCGGGGGCCCCGAGAGGCGACUCCCAGCCUUCCCUCCCAACCCGAAACUUUUCCACCCCACGCAGGCGUAUCCUCACGGGUCUCGGCGGCCGGAGGCGCCGUCAGGGAGAGGCUCUGCAAACACACGCGUCCCCCGACACGCGGGCGGAGGUACACAGGCACGCCGCGUGGCGGGGCGGGGGGCGCCCGGGCCGCGGGGGCGGGGCGCGGCGGGGGCCGCGGAGGCCGCGCGCCAGGGACUCCCCGCGUGCGAGGAGCGGUGCUUGAAGCCCCGCGGAAGCUCGGGAGCAGAGCGGUGCCCGGAGGCUUCGCGUAACUUUGCCCACUGCGCCCCCGCGUGCAGAGGCGUCCCCUCGCACUCACACCCUCACCCCGCCCCGCGCCCCCCUCCGCCCCCAGCCGCGGCCCCGAGCCGGCCUUUGUAUUUCAGUGACUGGGAAAGACCUGCUCCUCCGAGCCAAAGAAGGAGGGAUGGGAACUGCGGACAUCCAUUCCACUGCCCGGCACCCCCCACCCCGCCCCAUACGGAGGGAGAGCGGCCGGUUCUCCCCGAGAGCGUUCGCUCCGCUCCCCUCUGCCCUUGGGUCUCCCAGCUUCUUUACCGCGGUGCACUGAAGACGGUAAAGCACAACCCGAUCGAUGCGAAUGUUUUUCUGAAAGCACGACCUCUCCAAAUGCUAAGCCCCCGAAGAGCCGGGCGGGGAUGGAGAAAGGACACGUUAUCUGGGGUGGGGGGGUGCAGGAGCCCCCCUCGGGAGGCGCGCGCGCGGCCUGGCGGACGCCUUGCCGGGCUCGGCGCGGCCGGGCGGAGUGGCUGGAUUAUGUAA
rnacentral:lncRNA from 1 species